rnacentral:rRNA from 1 species
GACGAACGCUGGCGGCGUGCCUAAUACAUGCAAGUAGAACGCUGAAGGAGGAGCUUGCUUCUCUGGAUGAGUUGCGAACGGGUGAGUAACGCGUAGGUAACCUGCCUGGUAGCGGGGGAUAACUAUUGGAAACGAUAGCUAAUACCGCAUAAUAUUGACUAUUGCAUGAUAGUCAGUUGAAAGGUGCAACUGCACCACUACCAGAUGGACCUGCGUUGUAUUAGCUAGUUGGUGGGGUAACGGCUCACCAAGGCGACGAUACAUAGCCGACCUGAGAGGGUGAUCGGACACACUGGGACUGAGACACGGCCCAGACUCCUACGGGAGGCAGCAGUAGGGAAUCUUCGGCAAUGGACGGAAGUCUGACCGAGCAACGCCGCGUGAGUGAAGAAGGUUUUCGGAUCGUAAAGCUCUGUUGUAAGAGAAGAACGAGUGUGAGAGUGGAAAGCUCACACUGUGACGGUAUCUUACCAGAAAGGGACGGCUAACUACGUG